rnacentral:rRNA from 1 species
CUACAAUGGCGCCGACAGAGGGAGGCGAAGCGGCGACGCGGAGCGAACCCCAAAAACGGCGCCCCAGUUCGGAUUGUAGUCUGCAACCCGACUACAUGAAGCCGGAAUCGCUAGUAAUCGCGGAUCAGAACGCCGCGGUGAAUACGUUCCCGGGUCUUGUACACACCGCCCGUCACACCAUGGGAGCCGGGAAUGCCCGAAGUCUGUGACCGAACCCGGAAGGGGAGGGGCAGCCGAAGGCAGGCCCGGUGACUGGGGUGAAGUCGUAACAAGGUAAC